rnacentral:rRNA from 1 species
GACGAACGCUGGCGGCGUGCUUAACACAUGCAAGUCGAACGGAAAGGCCCUGCUUUUGUGGGGUGCUCGAGUGGCGAACGGGUGAGUAACACGUGAGUAACCUGCCCUUGACUUUGGGAUAACUUCAGGAAACUGGGGCUAAUACCGGAUAGGAGCUCCUGCUGCAUGGUGGGGGUUGGAAAGUUUCGGCGGUUGGGGAUGGACUCGCGGCUUAUCAGCUUGUUGGUGGGGUAGUGGCUUACCAAGGCUUUGACGGGUAGCCGGCCUGAGAGGGUGACCGGGCACAUUGGGCCUGAGAUACGGACCAGACUCGUACGGGAGGCAGCAGUGGGGAAUAUUGCACAAUGGGCGGGAGCCUGAUGCAGCAACGCCGCGUGCGGGAUGACGGCCUUCGGGUUGUAAACCGCUUUCGCCUGUGACGAAGCGUGAGUGACGGUAAUGGGUAAAGAAGCACCGGCUAACUACGUG